GCCAGGCACGGUGGCGCACACCUGUAAUCCCAGCGGCUUGGGAGGCUGAGACAAGAGGAUCACGAGUUCAAAGCCAGCCUCAGCAAUUUAGCAAGAGCCUAAGCAGUUCAGGGAGAUCCUGUCUCAA
rnacentral:sRNA from 1 species